UAGAUUGAAGCCAGUUGAUUAAGGUUUUUAGCUGUUAACUAAUUUUUUGUGGGUUUAAGUCCCACCAGUCUAG
rnacentral:tRNA from 1 species